rnacentral:tRNA from 1 species
CAGAGAAUAGUUUAUUAAAAUUUUAAUUUUGGAGAUUAAAGAUAAGAGGGGUUUCUUUUCUCUGA